rnacentral:rRNA from 1 species
CCUACGGGUGGGCUGCAGUGGGGAAUAUUGGACAAUGGGCGAAAGCCUGAUCCAGCCAUGCCGCGUGUGUGAAGAAGGCCUUCGGGUUGUAAAGCACUUUCAGUGGGGAAGAAAGCCUUGGGGCUAAUACCCUCGAGGAAGGACAUCACCCACAGAAGAAGCACCGGCUAACUCCGUGCCAGCAGCCGCGGUAAUACGGAGGGUGCGAGCGUUAAUCGGAAUUACUGGGCGUAAAGCGCGCGUAGGCGGUCUGAUAAGCCGGUUGUGAAAGCCCCGGGCUCAACCUGGGAACGGCAUCCGGAACUGUCAGGCUAGAGUGCAGGAGAGGAAGGUAGAAUUCCCGGUGUAGCGGUGAAAUGCGUAGAGAUCGGGAGGAAUACCAGUGGCGAAGGCGGCCUUCUGGACUGACACUGACGCUGAGGUGCGAAAGCGUGGGUAGCAAACAGGAUUAGAUACCCUAGUAGU